rnacentral:rRNA from 1 species
CACGUAGGGCGCAAGCGUUGUCCGGAAUUAUUGGGCGUAAAGAGCUCGUAGGCGGUCUGUUGCGUCUGCUGUGAAAACUCGGGGCUUAACCCCGAGCCUGCAGUGGAUACGGGCAGACUAGAGGUAGGUAGGGGAGAAUGGAAUUCCCGGUGUAGCGGUGAAAUGCGCAGAUAUCGGGAGGAACACCGGUGGCGAAGGCGGUUCUCUGGACCGAGACUGACGCUGAGGCGCGAAAGCGUGGGGAGCGAACAGG